rnacentral:rRNA from 1 species
AGUGAACGCUGGCGGUAGGCCUAACACAUGCAAGUCGAACGGCAGCACAGUAAGAGCUUGCUCUUACGGGUGGCGAGUGGCGGACGGGUGAGGAAUACAUCGGAAUCUACUUUUUCGUGGGGGAUAACGUAGGGAAACUUACGCUAAUACCGCAUACGACCUACGGGUGAAAGCAGGGGAUCUUCGGACCUUGCGCGAUUGAAUGAGCCGAUGUCGGAUUAGCUAGUUGGCGGGGUAAAGGCCCACCAAGGCGACGAUCCGUAGCUGGUCUGAGAGGAUGAUCAGCCACCCUGGAACGGGAACACGGUCCAGACUCCUACGGGAGGCAGCAGUGGGCAAUAUUGGACAAUGGGGGCAAGCCUGAUCCAGCCAUACCGCGUGGGUGAAGAAGGCCUUCGGGUUGUAAAGCCCUUUUGUUGGGAAAGAAAAGCAGCAGGUUAAUACCCCGCUGUUCUGACGGUACCCAAAGAAUAAGCACCGGCUAACUUCGUG